rnacentral:lncRNA from 1 species
GUUUGAUAGUGAUAGUGAUACGUGAGUGAUGAUUUAACGGAGUGCUUUUGCAUCCUACUCCCUUUAUCGACGUGAGCAACGAGCAGCUUCUGGAGCAAGAUCCCACUAUUACAACCGUGUGCACUGUGAGUAAAUUGCACCCGAGCCUCGAUUGCAUGGAAACAGAAAGUUUGAGGGGCGUUUUUCGUUCAAUAGAACAUGCAUCAGAGCACGUUCAUUUCACCCCUUCUUUUCUGACCGCUUUGUUUAGGUACCUUACAAACACACUAAGUACUGGUAUCGUCUGAAAACCAUUUCGUACUUUGUGACAGAGAUUUUCAACGCUGGGACUAAUUCGAUGGCAAAAACUUCUAGUAAAGUGACUGUAUUGUGCGUGGUUCUGAAACUUCUCGAGUAAUGUUUUGGUCACAUCCCCGUGAUGAUUAAGAUUACGUUUUGGAUAAAUAUGUUGCUUCAAAGUAUUGACAACUGUUGCGUUUUUUCUCAUUGGAGGUCGCUGUUCAUCUGGAGACCAAAAGAUGUUAAUUAUGAGGUAACUGAACUUGAGAAUGAAUCAACAGAGGUGAAGAAGGAGGUCAAGAAAAACGAUGACGAUGAUGCGAUAUUAGAGAAAAGAGCUGCUGCGAAACUGACCAACAUGGCAGGUCCUUCUUCCAUUAUGAAAAAGAAGAGGCAAAGUGUUCCUGAGGAUGAGGACAGCAGUUCUUCGUGCAGUGCAAGGGAGAGGAGUGAAAAGAAAACCACCACAAGUGUUGAAGAAGACAGUUGUCGUGGAACCGCGGAAAAAAGGAAAAGUGAAGGUGAAGGGGAGGAUGAGUACAGCAGUCCCUCUCGCACACUGAAGAACAAGAGCAAAAGGAGAAGCAUUCCUAAGGAUGCGUACCGAGACAUUGAUCCUGAGCCUGAUCCACCGAAAUGUGAAGAGCUCUCAACACCAGCAACAAGCGGAAGACAGUUGCGGAGCACACGCUAACUCCAAGAUAUUGACAUGUUACAAAUCAUAUUUGGAAUCGAGGUUCGCCCAGUACGAAAUCAGAAUUCAGCGUUCGUUCACAGGCAAGACGCAACAGUUGUCUCUGAAGAGAAAUUGUGGACUCUUCACGCACGUCUCUUCUGUGCUUCAGGAGAUGGGGUGGCGGUGUUCUGAUCUUGUCAACUUCCACAUGAUUAUCAUGGACUGGGAAACAGAUUUCCACUGCCAGACAUCCAACCUUACAUUACGCCAGUUCCACAGAUUCAUCGCAUGGUUGCAGACGCCCCCGCAUGCUCCUGAAC